rnacentral:rRNA from 1 species
AUUGAACGCUGGCGGCAUGCCUUACACAUGCAAGUCGAACGGCAGCGGGCCCUUCGGGGUGCCGGCGAGUGGCGAACGGGUGAGUAAUGCAUCGGAACGUACCCGGGAGAGGGGGAUAACCGGCCGAAAGGCUGGCUAAUACCGCAUGAACUCGGAAGAGCAAAGCGGGGGACCUUCGGGCCUCGCGCUCUCGGAGCGGCCGAUGUCCGAUUAGGCUAGUUGGUGGGGUAAAGGCCCACCAAGGCGACGAUCGGUAGCGGGUCUGAGAGGACGAUCCGCCACACUGGGACUGAGACACGGCCCAGACUCCUACGGGAGGCAGCGGUGGGGAAUCUUGGACAAUGGGCGCAAGCCUGAUCCAGCAAUGCCGCGUGGGUGAAGAAGGCCUUCGGGUUGUAAAGCCCUUUCGGCGGGGAAGAAAUCGGUCAGGCGAAUAGGCUGGCGGGAUGACGGUACCCGCAGAAGAAGCACCGGCUAACUACGUG